UAGCCUUCUCGCUUUCGAGGUUCUUCCCGGCAAGCCGCCGGGGAGCUAAGAGGGAACAGGGUCGAUGCCCUGGCUGCCCCCGCAACUGUAAACGGUCGCAACUCCUUCGAUACACCACUGCCUCAAGCGGGAAGGUGAAGGACGCACAGCGUGCAGACCGUGAGCCAGGAGACCUGCCUCGAUAGACCAGCCACU
rnacentral:ncRNA from 2 species